CUUGCCGUUAGUCGGCCAGAGAGGCCUGUUUUCCCACAGGUUGUUGCCAUGGUCGUCCCCGAGAAGACGCCAGACCACGGAUCGUGUGUCCACAUAGUCUGGGACAAGUCCUUGUCAGUGUGCGACUGUAGGAAUUCUGCUCCCUCCCCACUCGGUCUGUUGACCCACACCGUGGAGUCGUGGCGCCCCCUGCGGGAGAACACCUUCUGCACUGGCUUCAGCUAAGGAAUUCCACUCCCAUCACCAUCCAAACAGCUCAUGGCUGAAGAGCUUAAUGCAAACAAGUACUAACGAUACAGGUGGCUGAUGUCAUGUGACCCAUCCUUUUCCUGUUACUAUGAGCUGAGGGUCCCUGCAGCCUGCCAGAGAUAGGCGGACCCGGGUGCAUGAACAUACCUACAAGUUCUCGGCAAACACCCAGGAAAGUUCACCUUGAGGAGUAAACUACCAACGCAGGGGGGGGGGGUCAUUUCUUCUUGUCUCCCCGCCCCUCCCCUUUCCUCCAGGAGGCGCAAGGCAAAGCCAUACCACCGGAGGGCAGCAGCGACCGCGCAUGGAAACUCAAAAGACACAGGGACUGGGGGAGUGGAAACCUGGACCAACCUCCAGUUUUUGGGCAGAAACCCCUUCUUGUCGCUGGAUCAAGGGCCCCUUAGACAAACGUUCAGCAACUCGUUCAUUCCUUUUUUGCAAUUUGUUUAUUUAGAAGCAACUGUGUUCCUGCCUGUGAGGAAAGCAGUGUGGUGGAGCUCCCAGCACCAAUGUGAUCAAUUUUGAGAUUACAGCUGAGGGACCAGAAGCUGUUUGCUGUACUGGGUACAGCUGGGCAGAGGGUUAGCCAAUGGAAGCUGGAAGGGGUGCCCAAUGUGGGCAAACAUACUGCAGCUGGAAAACCCUCUUCAGGUUUUCAGGGGUGAGGAGACAGGCCCAAGUGGUUGUCAAGGCAACAGGCUAAAUCAGGGACUGCUGGUUGUAGAGGGAGAAGGGCUACAAAGAGACCCAACUACAGUGAGUCCUGUCAAAGCCAGGCAACGGAGGAGGGGCUGGGGCUACACCCUAGUGGCCCUUUGAGGGACAGCAUGCCAGAGGAUAUAGAGCAGGCUACUCCAGCGUGGGGAAGAAACUGCACAAAGAGGGGGAGGUUAGAGCGAGCGGGGACCCACUUACCUCUGCAGGGAUUCCAGGCUUCUUCGGGCUUGGUCCGGGGCCCAGGAGGCUGGCAGGUUUCAUGUGCCAGGGGAAAACUCACAAGAAAAAAAAAAUUGU